UUUUAGGUGGGAAGUCUAGAAGAAAUUAAACGGUUUAUUACACUGAACGUGACAAAAAUCAUUGCAAUCAUAAAGCCGGUUAAGCCGUUAAGGUUAUUACUUAUCAUAUUAUUGACCGUGUUUUUUCUUCUUGUUUCGUUUUUUAAGACAGUCCAGAAAUUAACAAAAAUUAAUCUUUCCACUGUUAAAAUGCGGACGUAAAUUCCUAAUUAUUUGAGUUGUUGUAUGAAUGCGGAGCAUUUUUACUAUCCCAAAACAUGGUUUUCUAGA